rnacentral:miRNA from 1 species
UAUGAUAGUAUUCUUGGUGACA